AGCAUGGAAGACCUGGAUUGAAUGGCCACCUUUUACCAGAGGAAAAUUGAAACCAUCUCUCCCUGCUUCCCUUGGGAAUGCUCUAAUUACCAACUCUCUGGAAUUCUGGGGUGUUGUCUGUCUCUCCCGUUGAUGCUCUUUAAUUUUGUAAAAUUUCACUGGAACAAGGACUAGAACCUGGAUACAUAGGUAUGAGAUACUAAGCGGGACAAUUUCAACAGGAGAGACCAAGGGAUACAUCUACGCAAGUGUCCCAUAUUCUGUAGUUAAGGUAUUCUCCUGAACUGUGAGAAACAUUGGUUCAAAAUCAGUGAACUAAAGAGUAAAUGCCUUUGAACUUGGUGCUUUCACCUCCCAAGUGCCUGUUUGAACAUCCAGGUAUAGAGUUACUCCCUCCCCUUCUUUUUGUGGUUCAGUUAGAUAUUUUAUAGAAGAUAGACCAGCUUCAACAGGAAACAUGAAGGCCAGUGUAGUUCCAGCAUAUCCUAGGGUAGGAUACUGUCAUGUGAAGAGAUUAGUAUUUAACUCCUGUUCACCAUGACCCUGGGAAGACUUCUAACUUAUUAGGGCCUUGAAAUAAAGAAUUCCAAUCUUUUUUUUUUUUUUUGCAGGGUCCUAUCCAGUAGGUCCUGCAGGCAUAAUGGGAAGAGGAAUGCCUAGUUUAUGUAUCAAAGGAAGCUCAGGUGCCUAAGUGUUCAGCAGUUCUGAACAUGCCUAGAAGCAGAUCUUUGCAGAAGUAGAGAACCUUACCAGUAAGGUACUUACAUCCUUGUCAUAAACUAGACACUUUUUUCCAGGAUCAUGCACAAGCAAUGGCUUUUCCCAUUGCUGCAGUGGGGUCCUCCUUUGUACAGGUCUCAUCAAGGAGAGAGCCAAACCUAAACAAGCACUUUUGGCACCUAUUUUCCCAGCCUCUUUCCUACUGUGCAGUGAUGGAUUACCUCGUUCUGUUGACUUGGGCAAGACUGGAAAUAAAAGCAAACAAACAUACAUGCCCAUCUUCUGUAGCCUACCUAGAGGCAUAUGCCAAAUUCAACAAAAAGGCAAUGUUUCAACUGUGUGGAAGAAUGCAAUGGAGAUGAUGUCCAAGUGAUGAGGGAUCAAGUGGGCCACAGCAACACACACAAAGUGGGAAUAUUUAAUACAGACUCAUCAGUGUAUCCUUUUCCUCUCUCACCACUGCAUGUUGCCCUUCAUUUGCUACUGUGUAGUGUCUUGGCUCCUAGAUUAAUAUAUUCCCCAGGCAGCUGUGCCUUUCUUAUACUAAUUACCUCUUACAUAUCAGAAUUUGUUAAUAAAUGAAAAAAUAACAUUUAUAUGAUAGUGACAGAAACUGAUAUUUGAUAAUAAAGAUAUUAUAUACGUACAUGAACUAUAGGUUUAAAUAUUAAGGUUGUGAAGUGAGACUAGAAAUGGUAAAAUUAAGACUGUAUAAUGAUUUGUGCUCCCUCCAUCCAUGUAUUGUAUACAUGUUGAUACAGCCUCCAGUUACUGUAUAUAAUCAUAAAAUGUGAUCAUAUAAUACUCUAUUAUAGUAUUCACACACUGUGAACAUAUGAUGGUCAUAUGAUCACAGGAUCAUUGCUCAUUCAGUACAUAGGAUGAGUUGUUCUCACUUAAUGAUUUCCUUUUUUACUGCAGGCUUUUACAGUCUGUUUUUCAGACAGGAUUAUUAAAUAGAGACAUGGGCAGAGAGGAGGGGAAACAAGCUUCUGGUUUUUGGAGAAUUGUGAUGCAUAGAAUUUGAUGCAUAAAAUAUGGUUCAUAUUUGUAAAAACCAAGCACCAUGCCAGAGCUCUCCUAGAUGUAUGAGAUCAGUUUGCAAAAUUCCCUAGGAAACUAAGCUAAGGGUUCAGGUAAUAGUCUGAGACAGGUUCCUUAAGAAGGGUUGUAACCCUACUGUAUAAAGUGUAUUCAUUCGAGAUGUCUGCUUUGACUUCACAGUGCUGUCAGCGUAUACUAAAGUGGUAGUUUGCUUAGGUACAAUCACUUGGAUCCGAAGGGAGAAUCAGAACUGAAGGCUUUCAAAAUCCCUGUACCCCCAGUAUAAAUUAAUAAAAGAAAACAAAAGGCUCAGGGGAACUAGAGGCUCCCACUUUCCUAAUGGGGAAGAAGACAAAUGAUUGUGGAGCAUAUUCAAACCCAUUCUGACCCCAACAGGCUCAUUUGGGAGGUUUGUAGUCUCCUUUUCUGUUUUAAGGAUGUCAAGGACUAUAGUAAACGGUAUUGACCAUGUCAGAUCUGAA